GGUGAACCUGCGGAGGGAUCAUUACACAAUACAAUAUGAAGGCUGUCCGCAGCUGGAGUAUUUUAUUACCCUUGUCUUUUGCGCACUUGUUGUUUCCUGGGCGGGUUCGCUCGCCACCAGGACCACCAAAUAAACCUUUUUUAUGCAGUUGCAAUCAGCGUCAGUACAAACAAUGUAAAUCAUUUACAACUUUCAACAACGGAUCUCUUGGUUCUGGCAUCGAUGAAGAACGCAGCGAAAUGCGAUACGUAGUGUGAAUUGCAGAAUUCAGUGAAUCAUCGAAUCUUUGAACGCACAUUGCGCCCUUUGGUAUUCCAAAGGGCAUGCCUGUUCGAGCGUCAUUUGUACCCUCAAGCUUUGCUUGGUGUUGGGCGUUUUUGUCUUUGGUCGCCCAAAGACUCGCCUUAAAGUGAUUGGCAGCCGGCCUUUCUGGUUUCGCAGCGCAGCACAUUUUUGCGCUUGCCAUCAGCAAAACGGCAAUCCAUCAAGCCUCCUUCUCACGUUUGACCUCGGAUCAGGUAGGGAUACCCGCUGAACUUAAGCAU
rnacentral:rRNA from 3 species